UACAGAGGUCCCGAGCGUUGUUCGGAUUCACUGGGCGUAAAGGGUGCGUAGGUGGCGCUGUAAGUCAGGUGUGAAAUCUCGGGGCUUAACUCCGAAACUGCAUUUGAUACUGCGGUGCUUGAGGACUGGAGAGGAGACUGGAAUUCAUGGUGUAGCAGUGAAAUGCGUAGAGAUCAUGAGGAAGACCAGUGGCGAAGGCGGGUCUCUGGACAGUUCCUGACACUGAGGCACGAAGGCCAGGGGAGCAAACAGG
rnacentral:rRNA from 1 species